UACGAAGGGACCGAGCGUUGUUCGGAUUCAUUGGGCGUAAAGGGCGCGUAGGUGGCGCGGUAAGUCGGGUGUGAAAUCUCGGAGCUUAACUCCGAAAUUGCAUUCGAUACUGCCGUGCUCGAGGACUGGAGAGGAGACUGGAAUUCAUGGUGUAGCAGUGAAAUGCGUAGAGAUCAUGAGGAAGACCAGUGGCGAAGGCGGGUCUCUGGACAGUUCCUGACACUGAGGCACGAAGGCCAGGGGAGCAAACGGG
rnacentral:rRNA from 1 species